UACGUAGGCAGCAAGCGUUUGUUCGGAGUUACUGGGCGUAAAGGGUGCGUAGGCGGCUCUAUAAGUAUGGUGUGAAAUCUCCCGGCUUAACUGGGAGGGUGCGCUAUAGACUGUGGGGCUAGAGUGCGGGAGAGGAAAGUGGAAUUCCUGGUGUAGCGGUGAAAUGCGUAGAUAUCAGGAGGAACACCGGUGGUGUAAACGGCUUUCUGGACCGUAACUAACGCUGAUGCACGAAAGCGUGGGUAGCAAACAGG
rnacentral:rRNA from 1 species